CAGUAGCCGCGGUAAUACGUAGGGUGCGAGCGUUAAUCGGAAUUACUGGGCGUAAAGCGUGCGCAGGCGGUUGUGUAAGACAGGUGUGAAAUCCCCGGGCUUAACCUGGGAACUGCGCUUGUGACCGCACAGCUAGAGUAUGGCAGAGGGGGGUGGAAUUCCACGUGUAGCAGUGAAAUGCGUAGAGAUGUGGAGGAACACCGAUGGCGAAGGCAGCCCCCUGGGCCAAUACUGACGCUCAUGCACGAAAGCGUGGGGAGCAAACAGGAUUAGAGACCCCUGUAGUCCCUGUCUCUUAUAC
rnacentral:rRNA from 1 species